GGCCCAUUGUGGGCCAAGGGAUCCUCCACCUGGCAUCACUGUCUUUUGCAGAUCCUGAAAGCACCAUAUCUAUCCAGAGAGAGGAAAAAAGGAGAGCAAGGACAAGGAGUCAUCUGUGAUGUUUAUAUAUGCACAUAUGUGAGCGUAUGCAGACCUAUAUAUUUAUGGAUAACUUCUGUGAAACUAAGUUGGCACAUGAAAGCUUAAACUGAAGUCAAAUGAAGCACCUGCAAAGUCCACUCAUUUGCUUGUGAAGAAGGCCUCUCUUUUUCGGUGUGCACAAUGUGCACCUUGCAAACAGAUGUCCAGUGACCUAAGUCCUCAUUAGUGCGGAAGUGUUUUGUGUCAGCCAUUAAUCUCAAAACUAAAACUGCUUCUAGAAGCAGAAGCCACAGUGUGCCUCCUCUAGUUGUCAGUAUGCUGCAUUUGCUUAGCUUGUAAAAGCUAUGUUAUGGAUCACUGUGGAUGAGGCUCUUCCCACACUGACAUGUUAAUAACAGUCUCUGCCUCUCAAAUGAACUUCUAUUUGGUCUUUACUCAGUCAAAACAUUUUAUCAACAUCUUUUUCCUUUGGCAAUUCAGACUUUAGGCCAAUUCCACUUAUACAUACCCGUGGGUAACUUUACUGGCAUAAGUAAUUCAAUGGAUUUAAAUGGAGAUAUUCAAGUAUUCAACCUCUACAGCACAGAGACAGGAUUUGUGGGAUUUUGUACUAAUACCAAUACCUUUUAAUUUCUGCUAAACAAUUCUAAAGAUAUGAAUAGCCAUGAACCAAGUGCAUCUACUCUGAGAACUGUCAAGAAACAGCACAUCAACAGCCUCCUCGUUUAAGUCCAUGUUACUGCUUUUUUUCUUCUUUUACCCAGAAAACCAUAAGAAAAUAUACUUACAUAGGAAUAUAUGACUACAUGGACGUUACUUGCUUUGCACUUCUUCUAGCCUUAUUUAGGAUCUGAAAUACUAUAUGAGAAAGCACUUGACAAUUUGGCUCUUGGAAAAUUUCCACCCACCAUCACUGGUUUCUAGUUUCAGAAUUCCUCUCCAGCAACACAGUUCUUCAGCACACUAACCACUCUGAAUAGAAAGGAGACACAAGCAGUGAAAAACUGCUACAAAAAGUUUAAAUAUUUUCCAAGAUUUUAAAAGCUCUAUUGAUGUUCACAGAUCUGAGGGGUUGGGAAAGAGCUACAUGGGCUUUGAUAUGCUUGGCUGGCUUAAGAUCCACUACAUGAACCAGGCCUCAAAAUGUAACCUGCAGCAAUGUCCUGACUAUAUGUCAGAUGAGAUGAAAAAUGUAACACCUCCAGGAAGUCUGUAAAAACAAGAAUAAUUGCAUCAGUGGGCUUAUGUCUCUUGUUAUCUAUAACCUGGGGAUCAAGACUGUGAAGAUCCACCUGUCACACAGUGUGAUCCUAGGAACUGUGAUCUAAAAGAUGGAAGCAACUGCGAAGAGAAUGAAAGGAAAAUGAGCUAACCCCUUGCCUUGCUCUAACAGUCUUUUAGUCAAAAGGUGGCUUCUUCUGCCAUUCUGCAGGAAAAAAAAAGACAGCAAAGAGUAUGGAACAUUUGGAGAUUGCACUGAUGGUCCCCAAGUUAUGUUCUUCUAAAAUUAAGUAUAAAAACCAAAUUAAGAAUGCUGGAUAUUCCUAUCCUAUCAACUGACCAACAAAUACACAAGGAUGUAUUAUAUUGUAAUAAUUAUUCACCUUGAACAGUUUCCUCUCUCAUAAAGGGAAAUUUUAAAGGUCAGACACACAUUAAUUGGAGAAUUAUCAGUACAACAUUGUUCUCCUUGAGAGGACUAACACAGUGCUGCUGAUAAAUUUGUUUCUGUAACUACAAUAAGCAGCCUCUUUUAAAACUAUACUGAUAUAAAGCACACAGUUGUAACAAUCAAUUCUAGAAAAUUAAAUCUGUGAGCCUUGAAAGCACCUCAUAAUUCCACAUUCUCUGAAGAGGAAAUAAUGUGAAAAGACUAGCAGGAGUUUUUGUUUCAACCUAGCAUGACUCUUCUUUUUUUUUCCUAAGUACUUACUGGUUUGUAGAAACACUUUUCCAGCAAAAAAUGACAGUCCAGAAAAUGAGAACCUGUCUAUACUUUCAACAAUUUGCAUCACUGCAACCUUUUGCACAUCACUGCACAAAUCA